UUCCUCUCAGGAUCUCACCUGGAGAGUUUCCAGUCCUCUACCAGUCCCAACUAUGGGAGGGAGAGUCAAGCAGAGGUAUACCCAUUCCAUUCCCAACUUGGGCAGUGGCUAGCGAGUGGAAGGCAAUCCGCUACAAGU
rnacentral:snoRNA from 2 species